GUAAACCCGGUCAAAACCACUUCGACUAGAAUGAUGGCGUGGAUGUGAAUCAGAACAAGACAAGCUGGGUACUCGUGUGCUUCUGGGCUGUCUCAUGCAGCAAAUGAAAGCCCUCAAAGGAUGUUUGCAUUGUUAGUGACAAGAUGGCCGCCAUCUACGUUCCCUCAAAUGGCAAUGGGGCUGUGGGAUGAGGUAGUAGUUUGUAUAGUUUUAGGAUCACACCAGAUCUGGGAGAUAACUAUACAGCCUACUGUCUUUCCCACGGCAACCUAACUGUCUUCCAAAUGACAAAAGGCCAACAUCCUAAGUUGCCAUGGAGACUGGCUGCAGUCCUUGAUGCUUACAGGAGACCAACGAUUGGCGAUUCCUUCAGCUACUGAAAGGUCUCCCAUGAAGCUGCCAUCUACUACGAGGACUUUUGAUGGAUGUGUAGCUGUGCUGUAGUGAGGUAGUAAGUUGUGUUGUUGUGGGAUGUGGGAUAUUCCAUCCCCCUUUUGAAGAUACAACUAUACAACUCACUGCCUUCCACAAUGUGGCAGCUUAAUACCCGUUGAUGCAGCUUCCGCUCAUGUCCUUUACCUUUGUAAAGGCCCUUCAGUUCUUACUUUGUAGUUUCCUUAUUGGUUCAAUGGAACAAUGCACAUUAUGAACAAACAUACACUGUUCAUGUGCCAGAUGAUGGAGGCUACUUUCUGGUUGAUGGAAAUUAAAUAGAAAAAGUGAUUUUUCUCUUGCCGUGUUAUGGGAUCUGAGCCGAGGAUGUUGUUCUGGCUUGUGCAGCCUUUUGAGAAAUUUGUAAGUAAACUUUGAUUGACUGAUUGAAAAAUACUGUGUUCAGUAAGCUUUUAUAACUAAAUAUGUGCAACUUUUUCAAAAUUAAAGCCUGUAAUGCACCUUU